rnacentral:rRNA from 1 species
CAGGAGAAGGGAAGGUGUUACAUAGGUGAGGGAAAAAGCACCCUUUUGUGCAUAUACGAAGGUAAGACACAGAGAGGGCACCUUACUUAGUCCGUCAAAUUAAGUGCCAGCAGACGCGGUGAAACUUAAGGGCUAGUUUUGUAGGCAAAAGCGUAAAGGGUGUGAUAGGCCGUUUUAAUUAAAAGGGGUUUUAUAAUUUAAGAAGGUAAAUGGAAUUUUUUUGUAACGGUGGAAUGUGUAAAUAGAAAAAAGAACCUUAGACGUGAAGACUAUUUAUUUUUGAGAUUAUAAUGUGAUGGCUAAAACACGAGAGUAUGGGGAGCAAACAGGAUUAGGGACCCUGGUAGUCUAUACUGUAAAUAAUGAAAAAGAUGUGAAGCAAUCCUAAAAAGUCAGAAAUUUUCCGCUUGAGUAGUACGACCGCAAGGUUAAAAUUCAAAAAACUUGGCUGUUCACUGUUUUAAUUAGAGGAGCGUGUCGUUUAAUUCGAUAGUCCGCGAGAGACCUUACCCAAACUUGAAUCCUUUAUUGACAGGUAUUGCAUGGCCGUCGUCAAUUUGUGUAUUAAACAUAAAACAGAUUUAACCCAGUGGUUUGUCUAUUGGAUGAAGUCAGGUCUUAUUGUCCUAAUGUUUGGGGAUUAGAUGCGCUACAUUUUUUUAUACAAUAGGAAACUUUGAGUGUGAAACCUGAAAAUAAGAGUUCGGAAAGUGCCUGGAAGAUAACGGAAAGUUGUAUUUAAUAGUAAUUGAAAAAGUAGAGCGUUUCAAUGAAAUUUUUUUCAGUGUUAGUACAAAUUGCCCGUCGCCUUUGCCUUAGAAAGGUAGGUUGAUUGCCCCCUCAAGAGGUUUCUAAUUAUCUCCGACGCCUAAAUAAGUCGUAACAUCGUGGAGGAGCGAGAGAAUCAAGUGAAACU